rnacentral:rRNA from 1 species
CACGUAGGGUGCGAGCGUUGUCCGGAAUUAUUGGGCGUAAAGAGCUCGUAGGCGGUCUGUCGCGUCUGCUGUGAAAACUCAGGGCUUAACCCUGAGCUUGCAGUGGGUACGGGCAGACUAGAGUGCGGUAGGGGAGACUGGAAUUCCUGGUGUAGCGGUGAAAUGCGCAGAUAUCAGGAGGAACACCGGUGGCGAAGGCGGGGUCUCUGGGCAGUAACUGACGCUGAGGAGCGAAAGCGUGGGGGAGCGAACAGG